rnacentral:misc_RNA from 1 species
UAAUAAGUGUUUUAUGGCACUUUUUAAAUCCAUAUCCACCUUGUGUGCAAUGUCAGUCGAUCUUCUUUUUUGAGGAUCGACCAAACAUCAACCUUUAUUUUUAACUCUUUGUCUGAGAAAUAUUAUGAAUAAACAAUUCAAAAUA